rnacentral:rRNA from 1 species
GCCCAAAAUCAAGCCUAUAACCCACCUAAUGUAUUAAUACACAUAUUAACCUUAAGACAAAACAUUUUUACAUUCUAGUAGAGGCGAUCAAAAAACUUAUAAGCGCUUCAUAUGAAGUACCGCAAGGGAAUGAUGAAAUAGAUUUGAAAUAGACCUAAGCA